UUCUCAGGCUGACUCUCACUCACCUCCCUGCCACACCUCCUAAUCAGCGCUGAUGAGGAGGUGUGGCAGGGAGGUGAGUGAGAGUCAGCCUGAGAA
rnacentral:miRNA from 1 species